GUCUGGUGGCGUGGUUUGAGUUUUGGACUUGGACUCCAGGAGAUCAGGGUUCGAAUCCCUGCUCAGCCA
rnacentral:tRNA from 1 species